rnacentral:rRNA from 1 species
UGGUUAAUUCGAUGCAACGCGAAGAACCUUACCUGGUCUUGACAUAUCUAGAAUCCUGCAGAGAUGCGGGAGUGCCUUCGGGAAUUAGAAUACAGGUGCUGCAUGGCUGUCGUCAGCUCGUGUCGUGAGAUGUUGGGUUAAGUCCCGCAACGAGCGCAACCCUUGUCCUUAGUUACCAGCGGGUUAAGCCGGGAACUCUAAGGAUACUGCCAGUGACAAACUGGAGGAAGGCGGGGACGACGUCAAGUCAUCAUGGCCCUUACGACCAGGGCUACACACGUGCUACAAUGGUAGGUACAGAGGGCAGCUACACAGCGAUGUGAUGCGAAUCUUUCAAAGCCUAUCGUAGUCCAGAUUGGAGUCUGCAACUCGACUCCAUGAAGUAGGAAUCGCUAGUAAUCGCGGAUCAGAAUGCCGCGGUGAAUACGUUCCCGGGCCUUGUACACACCGC